rnacentral:rRNA from 1 species
ACAUCCAGAGAAUUUAGCAGAGAUGCUUUAGUGCCUUCGGGAACUCUGAGACAGGUGCUGCAUGGCUGUCGUCAGCUCGUGUUGUGAAAUGUUGGGUUAAGUCCCGNAACGAGCGCAACCCUUAUCCUUUGUUGCCAGCACGUAAUGGUGGGAACUCAAAGGAGACUGCCGGUGAUAAACCGGAGGAAGGUGGGGAUGACGUCAAGUCAUCGUGGCCCUUACGAGUAGGGCUACACACGUGCUACAAUGGCGCAUACAAAGAGAAGCGACCUCGCGAGAGCAAGCGGACCUCAUAAAGUGCGUCGUAGUCCGGAUUGGAGUCUGCAACUCGACUCCAUGAAGUCGGAAUCGCUAGUAAUCGUAAAUCAGAAUGUUACGGUGAAUGCGUUCCCGGGCCUUGUACACACCGCCCGUCACACCAUGGGAGUGGGUUGCAAAAGAAGUAGAUAGCUUAACCUUCGGGAGGGCGUUUACCACUUUGUGAUUCAUGACUGGGGUGAAGUCGUAACAAGGUAAGCGUAGUGCU